AGUGAACGCUGGCGGUAGGCCUAACACAUGCAAGUCGAACGGCAGCACAGGAGAGCUUGCUCUCUGGGUGGCGAGUGGCGGACGGGUGAGGAAUACAUCGGAAUCUACUUUUUCGUGGGGGAUAACGUAGGGAAACUUACGCUAAUACCGCAUACGACCUACGGGUGAAAGCAGGGGAUCUUCGGACCUUGCGCGAUUGAAUGAGCCGAUGUCGGAUUAGCUAGUUGGCGGGGUAAAGGCCCACCAAGGCGACGAUCCGUAGCUGGUCUGAGAGGAUGAUCAGACACACUGGAACUGAGACACGGUCCAGCCUCCUACGGGAGGCAGCAGGGGGGAAUAUUGGACAAUGGGCGCAAGCCUGAUCCAGCCAUACCGCGUGGGUGAAGAAGGCCUUCGGGUUGUAAAGCCCUUUUGUUGGGAAAGAAAUCCAGCUGGUUAAUACCCGGUUGGGAUGACGGUACCCAAAGAAUAAGCACCGGCUAACUUCGUGCCAGCAGCCGCAGUAA
rnacentral:rRNA from 1 species